AAACUCGGGCUAAUACCGCAUACGCUCUACGGAGGAAAGCUGGGGACCUUAGGGCCUGGCGCUUUUAGAUGAGCCUGCGUCAGAUUAGCUAGUUGGUGGGGUAAAGGCCUACCAAGGCGACGAUCUGUAGCUGAUUUGAGAGGAUGAUCAGCCACACUGGGACUGAGACACGGCCCAGACUCCUACGGGAGGCAGCAGUGGGGAAUUUUGGACAAUGGGCGAAAGCCUGAUCCAGCAAUGCCGCGUGUGCGAUGACGGCCUUCGGGUUGUAAAGCACUUUCAAUUGUGAAGAAAUGUGCACGGUUAAUACCCGUGUAAGCU
rnacentral:rRNA from 1 species